rnacentral:lncRNA from 1 species
UUUUUUUUUUUUUUUUUUUUGGGUAAAUGCAUUACAUCAAUGGACUCAUAUAAUUAUCUAAUGAAUAUCUAUCCAGAGUAAGCAGAAUUAGCAAGGCUAGUUAUGUCAUGGCUGAGUAGCAGAAAUGCUCAUGUAAGGUCGCGCAAUUCCUGUCUGCGAGUUGCUAGAUCGAUAAUGAUAAAAGUUGUUAUGUAAGAAUCCAUCGACUAAUUACUACUCUCUUUUUUUUUAAAAAAUUUUUUUUUGUUUCAUUGGUGAGUUUGUUAAUGACGACCUCAGCAAUUAGGGGCGAAUUCGCUGGUACUUGACAAGUGGUGAUUGCCGGAUUGGACUUUUGGAGUGGACUAACGAAUAACAGACAAUAAUGGCCAAAGAAACCACAAUAUGUAGCUAUCAAAAGAUUCCUGCCUGCCUGCUUGCGAGCAACAUACCAAAAGCACCAACACCGGAUUGCGUUUUGAAGCUUAAGACACAAAUAUUUCUAAAAGAGUGUGGUGUAUUUCUUUAGUAAUCUUACAUUUCUGUGGCGUAAAAUGUUGUAAUUUUGGAACGCGUUAAAUAAGUUGAUCGGAAAAAGUUCACACAAAACAAAAAUAAACGGCAAAAGAGAUUAGAUUAAUUGGAAUUUACGAGAGGCGCAAUCCGGAGUAUCCUCAAACUUGCAUUGAAGUUCUUCGACGUUCAAAAAUGUAGUAAUUACCCUGCAUUCCUAAGCUAUCUCCUCCAUUAUCGAUUUGUGUCGGUUAGACUGCUUUUGCACACAUCCCUUUUUCUCGAUUUAUAUGCAAUACUGCAUUUGAUUCUUUAUGUGAUUCUUCGUCAGCGUUAAGUGUUGGAGUCAUAUCAUAUGGAAAAGAUAGCUAAACUUCUGUGGGAUGCAGGCUGCUAAAUCUUUAAUGGGGAUCUUUUUCGUGUUUUAUUUACAAAGUAGCAAACUAUAUAAAACCUGAAUAUAAAGUGGGCAGGGCUUCUAAUUCACGCAUCUGUUGAUGAACUAGCUUUACAUGCAAGUUUUUGAUGGUGUCGAGUGCCUAUCUACUUCACCUAAAAAUUUGAUGAGACGCAUGGGCGGAAAAGAUCGAAACCCAAAAUUAUGCAAAUACGGAGUGUUGCACUUCUUGGUUGCGUGUCUUUCUUUAAACAGGUGGAUUGUCUUCGUCACUCACCAUACACCUCAUGUCACACAAAUUUUUUUUUUAGUUCCAUAUCACAUAAAGUUCAAACCCCACGCGCCCACACCACACCUUCCCAGAACACACAAAAAAAUAGAAGAGAAAAAUGUACAUGAGCAGUUUUAAUGCUCAAACUUUAAACAAAAACAAAACCGGUACUCAAACUUUUAAUAUUUGAGCACAUUUAGUACCAUUUACAAUUUUUUUUUCAAAAUGCUAUCGAAAAGAGUCACGUGAUAGUCGCAUGUCCGACAAUUAUUGCAUAAGAAAAAUACCAAAAAGAUGUAAAAUAUCCUUCUAACACUAAGUACCAAGAAAGAUAUUUUAAAAAUGUUAAUCACUUGCCCAACUCUACUUAUCUUAUUCUUUUCUCCUUCUUUUGCUGUAUUUCAUCUUUGCCUUAGUGCCAGAAAGAUAUUUUACGUUUUCUAGCAUUUUUUUUAUACAAUAUUUGCCGAACAUAUGAUUAUCACGUGACUCUUUCAAGUAGCAAUUUAGGAAAAAAUCAUUAAGGGUACUAAAUGUGCUCAAAUAUUAAAAGUUUGGAUACCAUAUUUGUUUUUGUCCAAAGUUUGUGGAUUAAAACUGCUUAAGUAUCAGAAUUUGGAUACCAAAACUGCAUUUUUCUCAAAAAAAAAAAAAAAUCAAUUCUUGGUCGAAUUCAACCUCAAAAAGGAAAAGUGAAAAGAUACGACGUCGCAGUAAAAUAACCAAUUAUUUGUUUAACAGCAAGAUUUUCCCAAGGAAAUGGAGCUUAGAUACGUGCGUAAUCUUAUGACGCCUGUUACAAGACUGACUUCAACAUUUAACUGCGGAGAAUCAGGAGACCCAAUACUAUUAAGGAUACUCUUUCUUCUGAAUGGCCAGAAAGCAUAUACAUCGUCCUCGUCUACUGUCGGUGACCCUGUUCUGUCCAAAACAACCAUUUUAACGGACUCCUCACCUAUCUUUCUCCCUCAAAUGGGCUACUAAACCAACCACAUUGCCCAGAUAAACCUCUCUUCCUCUAAACCUGUUCAUUAAUCGUUCCCUCCGGAUUUAGUAUCUUCUUUUUGCUGCAAAGAAAUAUUAGAACAAACUAGAAGAACAGAGGCACCUGGAAUUGAGAUUUUGCAAUUUCCUGCAGAAAUCUGCUCCAGUUUCCCUGGCAUUGAUCAAUGCCAGGUGCUAUAUGACUUCUUAAGCCGCAGAACUUUCAAAGUUUUAUCGUGUUUUCAAAGGUUUUUCUUCUUCUUGGCAGAUUAGAUCUGAACCGGAACUAAAUCCUAAAAAACCAAAGCGAAUUCUUUUCCAUAGAGAAUGGGGGAGAAGUCAAGGUCGAAAGGGGGUUGGUGCGGUUGGUUGCUUGUUUUAAUUGUAGCAGCUGCAAUUGCAUUUGGAAUUUUUGUAACGAUCAAGAAGAAGCACCAUGCCUCAAAGGGAGAGGCAGCCCCUGUUCCGGGGCCUCCCGGUGCUGUUACCAAGAAGUAUGCUGACGCUCUCCAUGCCGCAAUGCAGUUCUUAGACGUACAAAAAUGUAUAAAAGAAUCCCUCCACAACCACAGCAUUUUUUCUUUUCUUCGUCUGCGUCUUUCAAGUAUCUACAUCCACGUUUGCUGAUGUUGUUUUAAAACUUCAUUUGCUUUAAUUGAGCUAAAUCCAUGUAGUUUCUUAGCUUCUUAUCUAGUUCUUCCUGUUUUUUGGUUGCUAGAUCUUGAUAUCAUGCUUGGAAUGAUUUUAUGCAUUUCUUAGUUGUUUGUUUGAUUCUCCGGAUACUAGAUCUUACCAGUGAACCUGAAUAUUUUUAUUCGAUUAUUAAAUCACAAAAGUUCCCGUGUGUUAGCUUAGCUCUCAACCUAAGAGUACUUAGCAGUAAUUUUUUGUACUGCCUUGGUAAAGGUUCAAUUUUGUCGGUGCUGUGGGUCGAAUAAUUAAUUUAUGCCUUAACUGUGGAUUAAUUAUUUUGAAACAGAAUGUACUAGGAGCAGUAAAUGCAUCUUAUCUGUUACAGUAUUAGUAAUCCGUCUACGUAUUAGCAAUUUAAUAAUGUUCUAGAAUGACUUAGCUAGAGUUACCACGGCAAUUCUAGUAAUAUUUUAUGUGAGUACUUUGUUGUUAGACUCGAAGGAAUCAGAUUUUCUGAAUUCCAGAUCCAGUAAGCAGCUUCAUGAAGAAGCUUCAGUUCGAUUAUUUUGUUUACUGUUACCGUGAUGGUUUUUGCUGAUGGUGAAGUGUAAUUGUGUUCUGCAGCGGGGAAGUUGGUUCAUAACAAGAUACCUUGGAGAGGGGAUUCGGCUCUUGAUGAUGGAAGUCCCGCAAAAGUCGAUCUUUCCAAAGGAAUGUAUGAUGCUGGGGACCAUAUGAAGUUUGGAUUCCCAAUGGCUUACACAGCCACAGUGUUGUCAUGGAGUAUCCUUGAAUACGGUGAUCAGAUGAAGGUGGUAAAUCAAUUGGAACCUGCUCAAGACUCACUCAGAUGGAUCACGGACUACCUUGUCAAUGCUCAUCUUUCUGACAAUGUUCUAAUCAUUCAGGUUGGUUUUUUCUUGCUUCGUUUUUGGCUGCUUGCUUUCAUCACUCUUACCUUUGUGGUACUCAUGCUUAUUUGCAGUGUUUAUCUGCUUUAUUUUUCAUCCCAAAAUUGUGCUGUAUAAAACAUUGAUUUCUGUUCGGCUUACACUAAUUUUUGUUAUUUUUAAGAUGCAAAUAAAAAGAUCUGAAGAAAUUAAAAACAUAUCCUUUAGGUGAUCAAGAUGUUCUCAUGGUACAAGAUGGAAUGCUGCAUUUCUUAUACAAGAAAUGCAUUUCUUGUAGAUUCUUAUACAAGAUGGAAUGCUGCAUUUCCACGGAUAAAAAAUUAUAGAGAUUGAGUUUGAGCAACCCACCUUCUGAACGUUAAAUUUCUCUUCAAACUUGUCAAAACAAACAUUUACAUUGUGCUUCUUUGCAUAAUUGAAUUUUUGGCAGGUGGGUGACCCUGAUGCAGACCAUAAAUGUUGGGACCGCCCAGAAGACAUGACUGAGAAAAGGCCUCUCAUACAGGUUAACACUUCUUUCCCGGGAAGUGAUGUCGCAGCAGAAACUGCAGCAGCUAUGGCAUCAGCAUCCCUGGUGUUUAAGCCCAUUGACUCUACAUAUUCAGACUUGCUUCUGAAGCAUGCGAAGCAACUAUUUACUUUUGCUGACAAAUAUAGAGGUUCUUACAGCAUGAGCAUUCCUGAAGUCCAGACAUAUUACAACUCAACAGGCUAUGGAGAUGAGCUCUUGUGGGCUGCUAGUUGGCUUUAUCAUGCUACAAAGGACAAAUCAUACUUUGAUUAUGUGACUGGAAAAAAUGGUGAAGAGUAUGCUAACUGGGGAAGUCCUACCUGGUUUAGUUGGGAUAACAAGCUAGCUGGUACUCAGGUAUUUCUUCAUUCUUUCAGAGUCCGGAUUUAAAUUCUUUAAUUGGUUAUCGCUGGACACAUUGAAGAACAUCAGAAUUCAGUCUACCAAGUUUACAUGUGUUCUUGAUUCUCCUUCUCAUUGUAAUUUGGAUAUGACAAGGCUAAGACUACAAUUGUUCGACUGAAUUCACGGAUAGAUGUAAUACCAAAAUUGUCCUGUAUAACUUCAUCAUUAGGAGCUCAUGACAAAAAGGCUGAGCUUUCCCUAGUAUAGCACUCAAACUGAUCUUAGUGAUUGAAAUUAUGGAUCUAAGAGAUCUAUGACUGAUGCUCAAAAUUUUUUUCUUUAUAUUUCAUUUAGAUACAGAAGAUCAACACUUAAUUGUGUUCUCUUAUUGCAGAAGUUUGUUAGGUUUGCCAUGAGAUGAGCUAUUUCAGCCUGAUUGUCUAGCUUAUUAGUUCUCUCCCACCAACCAUAUGUACACUAACAAUGGUGUGAAAAUGGUGUACAAAUAUAAAGGGGCCACUAAUCAAAGUAGAGUUCUUUUUGGUUGGCCUUUUAGCUUUCUUUUCUUGUUAUUUUUUAUUUUUUGGGCAGAAGGGCGGUUGGAGCUGGUAGUGUGGUAAGGGGGUAAGGGAAUGUGAAUACAUUUUGGAUACAAAUCAUGAAUUAAUGAAGUUGCUGUGUGCCUUUACCGCAGGUCUUGUUAUCCAGGAUUAGCUUCUUUGGAUCAAAAGAUACUUCAAAUUCUGCUACCCUCCAGAAGUACAGGGAUUCGGCAGAGGCUGUCAUGUGUGGCCUCCUUCCAAAAUCUCCAACGGCCACAUCCAGCAGAACAGACAGUAAUCUUCAUUUGAUUGCCUUUUGACUUGGAUAAUUAUGCUUCUCUUCUUCUUUAUUUUUUUCAACAUUCCUAAAUGUGCUAGAAGACAUCUUUCAUACGUGUACAUGGAGAUACACCUAUAUAGACUCUUGCUCACCUCUAGCCCUUCUAAGGAAGGGUUGCAUUUGCGAGAGAUGUAGUUAUCUCUCCCUCACCAACUCUUUAGAUAAAAUGUGUGUAUCAAACGGAGACAUCAAUAGAGUAAUUAAUCUUAAUUGCAAUCUUCAAACAACUAAAAAUUGCUAUAUACGCUCAUCGUAAAUAAAAAAGGCUAGUGCAUUUUGGGUGAGCGACCUCAAUGUAUGUGAACUGAGCAGAUUAGAACUUAAAAUUCUGUUAUUGCUCACCCUCAAAGUUUUAUAAUGCAGGUGGCCUAAUAUGGAUCAGUGAAUGGAAUGCUUUGCAGCAUCCUGUGGCAUCUGCAUUUCUAGCUGUUGUAUACAGUGAUUACAUGUUAUCAUCUAGGACAGCUGAAAUAUCCUGCGACAGCGAUUCUUUUACGCCAGCCGAUCUACGCAAGUUUGCAACGUCACAGGUACACUUUCUGUUUUCAUCAUCUAUACAUAUAAAACAUUUGCUUCUUGCAUCAGCAUGCAACGAAUGAGCAUCUUCCUUCAUGUGUUCUCUUACAUGCCCUAGUACCUAAGUGUGCGAGUGAUUUUCCGGCUCUGUUUGUAGGCUGACUAUGUCUUGGGUAACAACCCUGCAAAGCUGAGUUAUCUUGUGGGUUAUGGUGAUAACUACCCAAAAUUUGUGCACCAUAGAGGGGCCUCAAUUCCUAUGGACGCAAAAACUGGCUGCAAGGAUGGUUUUCAGUGGCUUGACUCUGAUAAACCAAAUCCAAAUGUUGCGGCUGGAGCACUUGUUGGUGGACCUUUUCUGAACGAGACCUAUAUUGAUUCAAGAAACAAUUCAAUGCAAGCCGAACCAAGCACAUACAACAGUGCCGUUAUUGUUGCCCUUCUUUCUGGUUUGGUUACCACAUCUUCAGUGGUGCAGUCUUUCACAUAGGUUUAUAGGUGGAUUUAGGGGAAGCUAUUGUAUUAUCCUAUAGCUUAUUCAGGGAAUAUAUGCUGCCAAGUUCCCGGUUUGUAUAGUAUGCCACAUUCAGAUGACUGCUUUGUUGAACUUCAAAAAAUACAUGAACUUCAAUCAUACAUGCUCUAAUCCCAUUAGUGAAUACUACUACAACAAUCGCAUUCAUUGUAGUAUCAAACUUGAAUGGUACCUGCUCCAUUGCUGAUGGUGCCUGGCACACACGGGCGCUAGCCGUACUGUAAGCGUAAGGUCCCAUUUUGGUCUGGCAAAUUAAAGAUGGUAGUGUACUCUUUGGGCAAAGAUUUCGCUCCUCUGUCUUAUCCAUUCAUGGAGAAUUAUCUAUCUAUUCACUCAUCAAUAAUGCACUACUGUCCAAAUUUUGACAUGCACAGAUGAGAAUAAUUACGCACACAGUAAUUUACUGUCGGGAUAAUUACAAAAAUUCUCCGUAAAGUUUGGUCAAAGUUAGAGCGUACCCUAGUCAGGUCUAUGUAUGAUUUAACCACUUUACGUCAUAGGAUAGGAUUAAACGAGCGAGGACCUGGGUUCAGAUCUCCUCUCCUCCUCCUAACUUCUUAAGCCCUACACAUCUUGCUGAAAAAUUUAAAAAAGAAAAAAAUCACUAAAGUCAGAUUCAGUGAUUGACCAUGAUGAGGAAAGGACGUGAAGAGUGAGAAGAGGGUGAAAAAAAAAUACCAUAUUAAAUAUCACAAAGGGACGCGAGGGUCUCAUAUUCAAAUCUUCCAUUCUCCUCUCCACUUUCUUCCUAGAAUUUACCCUUCACCUCCUGCAGGAAAAAAAAAAAACAAUAUGAAACCUAAAACUUAGGUCAAAUAAAUGUUUGGAUGAUCGCGUUUAGCAUCGAUCUAUGGAUUCAAAUUGUCGUCAACCGAAUUAGAGAUGCAGAGUGUUCAGCCUACAAAGGCAACCCAAAGUAGAAAGAGGAUGAUUUGCAUCGAGUAAAGUAGUCAAACAUACAGAGCACUACCAAUCAAUUCUCCAAACAAAAACACAGUCCUGUUAUUGAGAAACUUAGAAGAGAAUUUCCCCUUUUUUACCAGGUUAGUGCUAACAUUUCAAAUCAAUCAGAAAAGAAGGAGACGAAAUUGAAUAAAAACCUCUCCUACUGAUCCACAAUAUGAUACCACAAAACAACCGUGGCCUCAAAUGCUACAAUUAACCGUAUGUACUAU